UGAAAACAAAGCCCAUUUAAAUAUGAUCUAGAAAAUUCAAGUCGGCGCUCUGACCACAAAGCACGAUCAGCAAUAUAAACUGAAAUAUGAAGUAAACACAGAUCUUGCUCUAAUGCAAUGCAAUACGAAGUGCAGAGUCGAGAAAUAAAUUCAGCUACUACUGCUGGCAAUAUCAGCUCAAUAUACAUGUCUCGAUAUACAUACAUAAAUGUCCAUUAGCGGGGCUUUAAAGUCGCUUGCAGUUGAACUGAAAGGAAGGCCAACACAACAACAGCAGCAACAACAACAACAACAAUAUCGGAUCAUCGCCGAUCAUCUUAUUUAAUAUAAAUACUUACAAGAAAUACGCUUCGUUCUCGCCUUUCGUAUCGUUAAGCACCUAACACAAACCAGAAACGGCAGCCGGACAGCAGCCCCUGCCGCCUGCACUGCCUCAACUCGCACAUACAUACACACAUACGCAGAUAUAGCCGUAUAUAUAUGUGUGCAUUGGUAUAUGUGCGAGCGCGAGCGGAUCGCAUACGGAAUUGAGGCAUUCGACGUAGUCUUCUAGUUACCGUCGCGUGAAGCUUUUGUUGAACUGUUGACGCAGAAGCGGAGGCAAGCGUGAAUACGAAACUGAAUCUGAAACUGGAUGUGAAUGUGGUUGGGAGCGCUCCUUUACCGUUCUGCCCACCAAGAUGAUGUUCACCCGCGCCCAGGUGCGCAAGCAGAAGACAAACAGCGCCAGCAGCAGCCAGCGAGCGCGCAGCACUGGCGGCUCAUCGCGUCUCCAGGGUCAUGAUCUGCGCUAUAAGCCGAGCUCAUCCAGCAGCAGUGGCGCCGGGAGCGGCCUCAGUGGCUCCAGCGCAAGCGGCGUACGGCGUGAUCGUGACCGUGAACGGGAUCGUGACUGUGAUGAUCACUAUAACAAUCACUAUCAUUAUGGCAAGCAGCAUUCCUUUGAGCUACCUCGCCAGCACUCCAAAGAGGAUGCAUACACCCGGGACAGAGACAGGGACAGGGAUAGUGGCGUCGGGGGAGGGAUUGGUGGUGCAGGCAGCGGUGGCUACGUGGAUCGUCGCACGCGACCGCGCAGCAUUACGAAUCGCCGCGGCGCUAUCAAACACCAGAAAACCCACGAUAUCAAUGGCCAUCGCUUUGUGGCGAAAUUCUUCCGUCAGCCCACGUUCUGUGCGUUCUGCAAUUUGUUUUUGUGGGGCUUUGGCAAGCAGGGCUACCAGUGCAUCAUUUGCCAAACCGUUGUGCACAAGAAAUGCCAUGAGAAGCUGCUCGGCAAGUGUUCCGGCUCCGUCUUCAACUCCGCCAGCACAAUUCUGCUGCGCGAACGCUUCAAGAUCGAUAUGCCGCACAGAUUCAAGCCGCACACGUUUAUGUCACCCACAUUCUGUGAUCAUUGCGGCUCCUUGAUGGGCGGCUUCUUCAUACAGGGCCUGAAGUGCGAAGAAUGUGACGUGAAUUGUCACAAGAAAUGCGAACGGCUCACGGCCAAUUUAUGCGGCGUCAAUCAGAAGCUCAUCGUCGAGGCGCUCAAUCACGUAAAGCGAGGCGCACGUGAGACACGAGACUCGCCGAGCACUCCGCCCAGCAGUAAUCCUGCCUAUAAGAUAGAUCCCAGCGAUGAACACGAUGAAACAUCAUAUACAUAUUCACAAUUCCAAAAAUCCGGACGUUUCACUGCGCCAGCAACAGUAAUACCUAGAUUUAAGAACUAUUCGGUAGAUGAUUUUCAUUUUCUGGCCGUGCUGGGCAAAGGCAGUUUUGGCAAGGUUCUGUUGGCUGAGCUGCGUGAUACGACAUAUUACUAUGCCAUCAAGUGCCUUAAGAAGGACGUGGUCCUUGAGGACGACGACGUUGACUCCACGCUAAUCGAACGCAAGGUUUUGGCACUGGGCACCAAGCAUCCGUAUCUGUGCCAUCUAUUUUGCACAUUUCAGACCGAGAGUCACUUGUUCUUUGUCAUGGAGUAUCUGAACGGCGGAGAUCUCAUGUUUCACAUACAGGAGAGUGGACGCUUUUCGGAGGAUCGUGCGCGAUUCUAUGGCGCCGAAAUCAUAUCCGGCCUCAAGUUCUUGCAUAAGAAGGGCAUCAUAUACAGGGAUCUCAAGUUGGAUAACGUAUUGCUCGACUAUGAGGGCCAUGUGCGUAUUGCAGAUUUUGGUAUGUGUAAGUUGCAGAUAUACUUAGAUAAGACGGCCGAUAGCUUUUGUGGCACACCCGAUUACAUGGCGCCCGAAAUCAUCAAGGGCGAAAAGUACAAUCAGAAUGUCGAUUGGUGGUCAUUCGGUGUGCUGCUCUACGAAAUGCUCAUUGGCCAAUCGCCAUUCAGUGGCUGCGAUGAGGACGAAUUGUUCUGGUCCAUAUGCAAUGAAAUUCCAUGGUUUCCGGUCUACAUAUCAGCCGAGGCAACGGGCAUACUCAAAGGCCUGCUGGAGAAGGACUAUACGAAACGUAUCGGGUCACAGUAUAGUCCAGCUGGUGAUAUAGCAGAUCAUAUAUUCUUUAGGCCCAUUGACUGGAACCAGCUCGAAAAGAGGCAAAUCGAGCCGCCUUUCAAACCCCAAGUGAAACAUCCGUUGGAUACGCAAUAUUUCGAUCGGGUAUUUACCAGAGAACGCGUGCGUCUAACGCCCAUCGAUAAGGAAAUACUCGCAUCAAUGGAUCAGAAACAAUUUCAUGGCUUCACCUAUACAAAUCCGCACAUCACAUUGGACUAGGAUGUCUAAGUAUAUAUUAGUAGUCAAUGUGCUGGCCAUAGACCAUAUAUAUUUAGCAUAUUUAUCUCUAAUAUUAGCUAUACAUAUUCAUGAACCUAACCUCCGGAGCCAUAGCCCGAUAAUUACUUCAUAGAGCAACAGUAUUUGUAUAUGAAUUAACUGAAUGACUUGGCCGUUAGAGAUGAUAAUGCGAAUGAUAAUGGGCCAGCGAGAGUGUUCACCCCUACCCGAGUUCACUGUACCGUAUUGCGAACCGAUGCCAGUGAAAAUAGUAGAAUAGCUAUAGCCACUGGCUAACCAGGGCCAUUCAUUCAUUGUCAGCUGUGCUCCAGUGAUCGGUGGACGCUUUUCCAUCGGACGAUUUGCAUAAGCCAUUGUUCGCCCCAGGCAGCAUUUUCAUGCAAAUGAGCUGGGCCACAGCACCAGCACCAGCAACAGCACCAGCACCAGGUGACACACAAAACAGCAAACGGCAAACAAGAAGAACAAUUUAAGCGAGAGUGUGCCCCAGUGAGGAGGGAGCGAGAGCCCUCGGCUUGGACGGUAGCAGCGCCAUUUAUGACCCCAACCAGGUUGAGAGCCAGUUGUGAUGACCGGCUUCUGGGCAAAGACAAAAGCAGCGCCAGUUGAACAUUAAAAGAAUUAUUCUUGUUAACUGUAGCAUAAAUCAUUUAUUAAACAGCUAAAGCCGCACAUACACGCACGCACACACACAUACACAGGCACAUGCGACAAUUUGUGUGUAGGCCAUAAAAAUGAUAGAAGAAGUGAAAUGUUAACAACAAACAACAACCAGCAGCAACAACAAUAAACACAGUCAAGUUA